UGAGGAAUAUUGGUCAAUGGACGCAAGUCUGAACCAGCCAUGCCGCGUGCAGGAUGAAUGUGCUAUGCAUUGUAAACUGCUUUUGUACGAGGGUAAAAACAGGUACGUGUACCUGGUUGAAAGUAUCGUACGAAUAAGGGUCGGCUAACUCCGUGCCAGCAGCCGCGGUAAUACGGAGGACCCGAGCGUUAUCCGGAUUUAUUGGGUUUAAAGGGUGCGUAGGCGGAUUGGUAAGUUAGAGGUGAAAGCUCAGCGCUUAACGUUGAAACUGCCUCUGAUACUGUCGGUCUAGAGUAUAGUUGCGGAAGGCGGAAUGUGUGGUGUAGCGGUGAAAUGCUUAGAUAUCACACAGAACACCGAUUGCGAAGGCAGCUUUCCAAGCUAUCACUGACGCUGAGGCACGAAAGCGUGGGGAGCGAACAGGAUUAGAUACCCUGGUAGUCCACGCCGUAAACGAUGAUAACUCGUUGCAGGCGAUACACAGUCUGUGACUUAGCGAAAGCGUUAAGUUAUCCACCUGGGGAGUACGUUCGCAAGAAUGAAACUCAAAGGAAUUGACGGGGGCCCGCACAAGCGGAGGAACAUGUGGUUUAAUUCGAUGAUACGCGAGGAACCUUACCCGGGCUUGAAAGUUAGCGACGGAUCCUGAAAGGGGUCUUCUCUUCGGAGCGCGAAACUAGGUGCUGCAUGGUUGUCGUCAGCUCGUGCCGUGAGGUGUCGGGUUAAGUCCCAUAACGAGCGCAACCCCUACUGUUAGUUACCAGCACGUCAUGGUGGGCACUCUAGCAGGACUGCCGGUGUAAGCCGAGAGGAAGGUGGGGAUGACGUCAAAUCAGCACGGCCCUUACGUCCGGGGCGACACACGUGUUACAAUGGUCGGUACAGAGGGUCGCUACCCUGUGAAGGGAUGCCAAUCUCGAAAGCCGAUCUCAGUUCGGAUUGGAGGCUGAAACUCGCCUCCAUGAAGUUGGAUUCGCUAGUAAUCGCGCAUCAGCCAUGGCGCGGUGAAUACGUUCCC
rnacentral:rRNA from 1 species